rnacentral:rRNA from 1 species
AGAGGGUGCGAGCGUUGUCCGGAAUUACUGGGCGUAAAGGGCGCGUAGGCGGUUCGGUAAGUAGGGGGUGAAAUGCUGCGGCUCAACCGCAGCCCUGCCUUCUAAACUGCCGGACUCGAGUAUAGCAGAGGCAGGUGGAAUUCCCGGUGUAGCGGUGGAAUGCGUAGAGAUCGGGAAGAACAUCGGUGGCGAAGGCGGCCUGCUGGGCUAUUACUGACGCUGAGGCGCGAUAGCGUGGGGAGCAACCAGGAUUAGAUACCCUGGUAGUCCACGCCGUAAACGAUGGGUACUAGGCGCUGGGGGGAGCGACCCCCUCGGUGCCGUCGCUAACGCAAUAAGUACCCCGCCUGGGGAGUACGGCCGCAAGGCUG